GUAAUCAAGUUCAGAUGAGGUCAUUUUUGAUUAAGAGGAGCCCUCAUCAAUAUGACUGGUGUCCUUAUAAGAAGACAAGAGACAGAGACACAGGGAGGAGCCCACGUGAUGGAAGAGGCAGAGACAAGCCAAGGAACGCCAGGGAUUGACGGCCACCACUGGAAGCUAGGAAGAGGCAUCUGUAUUUUUAUUUGCUAAAUCUGGCAACCCUAAACCUCAGGCUUCCCAGUUGUCAUCCCAAACAGUGGGGCUAAGGACAACCCACCUGAAGGAGCCCAGAGAUCCUGGUUUUCUGCAGGAGCUUUGGAAGAUCUCUCCUAGUUCUGGAUCUCUGACUCUCCCCAGCAUCCUGAUUGUUCUCAGUGGAACCUGGAUGUCCUGUAGCCUCUGCCUCCUCCAGAACCAAGCUGAGCCUCUUGCCCACCUACACCAGAAGCAAUGUGCUCAUUUGCUCAGCCCCACCUUUACACCAGCAGUUCAUGUCCGUCUCUCUUCAGCCUGCCCUCUCCCUUCCCCACUCACCUCCACUGGGCUUGGACGAGACAGAUGUGGACCCAGCCAUUAGGGAGCCAGCGGCCGUGUUGGGAGCUGCCCUAUGGAGAAGCCCAUGUGCCAAGGCACGGAGGGUGGCCUCUGGCCAGUGGGCAGUGAGGAGGAAAUCGAGGCUUUCAGUCCAACAGCUCACGAGGAACUGAAUCUGCCAACAACCACCUGAGGGAGCUUGGAAGUGAAUCCUUCCUCAGUCAGGCCUUGAGAUGACUACAGCCACGGACAAUGCCUUGAUUGCAGCCUGUGAAAGAGCCUGAAAUAGAGGACUCAGCUAAGUUGCACCUGGAUCCAUGACCUUCAGAAACUGAAGGAAGCGGCUCCAGAUGCUGUGGGUGGGACAUUCCUUGGCUCUGCUUGCCGUUCCCACAUUUCUCAUGAUUCCUGGUGACAGAGCUGGCACCUCUAACUUCCCUCGAAGAGGGGCAGAGUCUUGCUCAAGAACACCCUGUACCCUAGGAAAUCCGAG
rnacentral:lncRNA from 1 species